rnacentral:rRNA from 1 species
UGGCGGACGGGUGAGUAAUGUCUGGGAAACUGCCUGAUGGAGGGGGAUAACUACUGGAAACGGUAGCUAAUACCGCAUAACGUCGCAAGACCAAAGAGGGGGACCUUCGGGCCUCUUGCCAUCGGAUGUGCCCAGAUGGGAUUAGCUAGUAGGUGGGGUAACGGCUCACCUAGGCGACGAUCCCUAGCUGGUCUGAGAGGAUGACUAGCCACACUGGAACUGAGACACGGUCCAG